rnacentral:rRNA from 1 species
CGUAUGUCGCGAGCGUUAUCCGGAAUUAUUGGGCAUAAAGGGCAUCUAGGCGGCCUAACAAGUCAGGGGUGAAAACCUGCGGCUCAACCGCAGGCCUGCCUUUGAAACUGUAAGGCUGGAGUACCGGAGAGGUGGACGGAACUGCACGAGUAGAGGUGAAAUUCGUAGAUAUGUGCAGGAAUGCCGAUGAUGAAGAUAGUCCACUGGACGGAAACUGACGCUGAAAGUGCGAAAGCCGGGGGAGCGAACAGGAUU